UAGAGAAAGAAAAAGCACUUAAGAACCAGAAUCUCUUAAAAAAAAAAGAUCUUAGAAGUUUCUCUUCCAAAAAAGAAACAAACGGAUAGCACAGUUGCAAAUGUUUAGCCCCGAUAUUUAUCACUCACCUAUGCUUAACUACAUUCAACCAGUUACAACUCAAACCUCAGGACAGCACUCCUUCAGGGUACAAAACAUCUAAAAGAACUCGGUGACUCCAUUUCAAAGAUCCCAUCCCUUAGCAGUUGGCCUCUCCUUUCAUCACACCAACGCUGUGAAUAUCUCACAAAUCGCAAGAAAUUAGCCGCGGAGCGAGAUCAGAUAAGUCUUUAACAGGCACGCGUGUUACCGGAGAGAAGAAAGUGGAACGCGCGUGUGAAGUUUCCGAGCUCCGGGCGAGGCGGAAGUUCUCGCCCAGAGGCCGCCGGGAACCCCGCGCCGCGGCUGCCGCUUUGAUUUCCAGCAAUGGCUCCGGGGCCAGAGCCGGUGCAGCCGGGGCCGCCGCCAGCUCGCAGCAGCAGUCGGUACACUAAAAUCCCGGGAAAGUGAAAACGCUUCCUUCGCGACCUCUUUGCGCAGAGCUGGUUAGACCCCUGAACCUCUCCAGCCGUGGUUACGAACCCCAACGCCGGCCUCCGCCGGCGGACACCCCCGACUCCCAGGUCUGCGGGACAAAAGGCAGCGGUGCCGUCUCGUGCGCUUUCCCACGCGGUCCACUGAAAACCUAAUUGCCUGAAAGAAGUUGCACUUCGUCGCCAGAGGAACAGCCGAGAGUCAGAGAUCGAGAUUUCAGAGUCCGGUGCUGCCACGUUUUUACUGAUCCUUUAGCCCCAACGGAACGAAACAGAGGUGCCUUUUUGCUACCAGCUAAUUACCUUCACAUGAACAAGAAAUGUAGUACAAGCUCCACGUUUGUCCUCUCAAUAGUCGAUCCUCCCUAACCCAGUACCCAAAGGCUCUAGAAAAUGAGGGGGAUGGGUUCCCGAAAACAAAAAAAGCUUUCCGCCAGCACUGCCUCUGCAUCCAGUCCACCCAAGCUGGUAUUUGUAUAUUAGCUAUAGAAUGGGCCGGAGUGGGUGGUAAGUGAAGGCUAGGGUGACGGCGACGGACCUCACGUCCACGUCCCAAGAGCGCCCGGCAGGUCCAAGUUCGCGGUCCGUGCGCAGAGCGCGCGCUUUGCCGGGUGCCCGGACUAGAGGGCGCUGCGCCACUGCAGAUCACGCGGCACCCAAUGCGCCCUCCCUGGGCACCAUUUCUAUAAUAAGUUACAUUUGAAAUAAUGCACAAACAGCAUAGCUUUUCAAGUUCUUUUGAACAGUGCUUUGUAAGUAUUUUAUGAAUUCCAAAACCUAUGCAUACUUAUCUUUCAUUCCCGAAUCAAGCACAGCCAGGGCGGGUGUGCAGCUCGCCGAGCGGAAAGCCGGUAGGAUGCACACGCUUCCUUGUACUAGUCAAACACCCCACGCAAUUUCAUUAACGUUUAAACUUAAAUACGGAAAGACUUGCACUCAAGAAAGUACUCACCCGUCCAGCCGAGUCCUCGGUGUUCUGCUUUAAAGUCCCGGCAGGUCCGUA